AAAAACACAAACAAAUUGGUUGUAAUUGAGGUCAAAUGAAAAAUAAAAUCACAAUUUCGACUACAAAGUUUGCAUUUUUGAUAUAUUUAGUUUAGUUUAGUUUUAAUGUUACAAAAAAUGUGUCAGAUUUUCUUGUGCGCAACCCCGGGCAAGGGUAAAAAAAAAUAAAAGAGUUUUUUCUCAAUACACGAAAACGGUAAAAUAGGACUUAUGAAUUAAUACUUUUGUAGUAUUUUAUAUAAAUCUAAUAAAAUAAAUGAAUGUUGGUAAAUUAAAGAACAUGAAAAUAAAAAUAUAUUAUUUCUAUUAAUUUUCCAAGCUAAGUUAUAUAACGGUGACCUUUUUUUCUUAAUUGACAUUACGUAAUUAAGUAUCGAUAAACUGAAGAUUGCUAGAGACUAAAAAAGUAGCGUAUUAAAAUCUGUAGUGUAUUAAAAUCAUAGUAAACCUAUUUUUACCUACUGAAUUAAAGAAUGAUAAUCCAGUGUUGUAAUUCGUUAUAAGUUGCCUAUUUCUUGGAGCAUUAACAGUAAAUGGAAUGAUCCUUCUAGGGCUUGAGACAAAAUCACUUUUCUACAGGCUUGACCCACUAACGCUAAACGACUAUGAAUGGGAAUGACAUUGGCUAACGCUUUGUCAUAUUAUUAUUAUACAAAUUCGUUUGGCGUUAGAGGGUGACGACUGUCGAAAAGUCAUUAUGUCUGAAGCACCUGGGCUCGACACGUGAUAAUUCUUAGCACUUUGACAUGCUGGUUUUAUCAUGACGUUUACCAGUAUCAUAAGGGCUAGCGCGCACGGGUUACUUUUGUCGCCGUGACUGUUCCCUCACUCAUAACAAGUCUGUGGAGGUUAUGUAUAGAGAUGCGCGCAUUUUACGACGUGACAACUGGGUGACACUUAUGUACGUUCGGUCUUAAUAGCAGUGCGUGCACGAGUGACAAAGAACAUGGGAAGAGAUAAGUAAAAUUAUAUAUAGCAAUGUUUGGGGUAACUUGUAACAAUAAGAAAAAACUGAAGCUGGUAAAGUUGUACAAUAAAAGCCGACCAAAUUCAAGAGCUUAUUUUUCACGUGAGCUACGCCAACAAUAAUCCAUAAAGUCUGGCUCAAAAAAGAAAAAAGUACAAACAUUUUGACCAACUUGUAUUCCUUGUCCCAAGGACAUGGACACUCAAUAAUCUUCAGGAGGACAUUGAUGAAGAAGAGAGUAAGGAUACUCAUGAAGAGGAACCACAGCGAAGCCAAUAUUCCACAAAGAUAAAUGCGAAAACAACACCUUACGAAGAAAAGCUUACAAGUUUAUUGAGGCUAUGAAUAAUUGUAAGCAAAAGCAAUUGUAAUGACAAUGACAUGUUAAAGCAUUUUUCCCUAUGCUGAAUAAAGUAGAACUAUAGAUCAACAUUUUCUUUUUUUCAAGACGUUAAGAGACAAAACUCCCACAGCACCCAACGAAAUUAUUCUUCUAUGCAUAGUCCAUCUACAAGUUACGUAGGAAGUCCUCAAAAGUCACAAAUCGGUAUAUAAAAAUUUGUUGUAUUGCCCAUACUGGGAAUAUUAGAUUAAAUGAUCUUGAUAUAAAAUAUGUUAAAUUACAUCGGGUUCUUACGAUAGGAACAUAUCUCAUUAAAAAUUAAUCAAUCGUAAAAUUACUUUAUGUACUUAAGUUUUCUUUACAUUUUCGCCAAUCCUCUGCACCAAUUUCUAAAAAGGCUUCUUCUGUUAAUAAUUGUAUAACUCUUACAGGACUAUUUACAUUUUUAUCAGCAGCUUUUUGCUUCAUUAUAUCGCAAACCAUUUGUAUAUAAUUCAAUAUCCAAUGAUAAGGUGGGUCUUAAAACUUCAUGACCGUGCCAUUUUAAUACUUUAUCUUUCUCAUAUAAGGUCGCAGACAUGUUUUGUUUCACUACUUCAAGUAGUUGACAUUUACGUCAAACAACAUCAUAAUGUCAAUCAUUUGCACGGAGCCAUUAUUUUAUAUCAGCGAUACGAUUGGCUUGUGUGAGCAUUUUGUUCUUACCUAAGAAUGAUAACUAGCAUUAUCCAUAACAACUAAAUUGGAAUUAGCUGCCCGGUCACCCAUUUUGUAAAAUUGUCUAUAUUCAUACCGUGGUUGUAGACAGCAGAUACACUUGUCGAACUGUACACCAGACAACAAUCUGGUACAAAGCGAUUUAUUUAACCCACCACGCGGAUAACCCAGCGUUUAUCCCCAUGGUGGAUCAUUGUAAGUGGAUUUCUUGACAUUUUUACAAAUACAACAAACUUUAACAAGAAAAUCACAAGAUCACAGCAGUGGUUGCCAUAUAAAAAUCUAAUUUUUUAUUUUUGUUUUAUUUUUAUAUGCCGAUAGAUAGACCUAUAGCUACAAACAUUUAGCCGAUUUCAGCACCACAAUCUAAGGAUUGGUUUUUAUUAGGAGGUAAGCUUCCUAAUAAAAACCCUAUUACUUUUUAAAGCCUCAGCCUCGAGUAUUCAAUGGUAUAUUUCAGAGUAUGCAACUGACUAUAAUAAAGAUUCCCAAGUUUAUGACAUUUGCCAGGAACACAGUAAUAACACAGGAAAUAUUCUAAUUGAUCCUUGGUUUUAAAUUGAAUUAAAAUAAAAAUCAUCUAAAAUUAA